rnacentral:rRNA from 1 species
UACGUAGGUCCCGAGUGUUGUCCGGAUUUAUUGGGCGUAAAGCGAGCGCAGGUGGUUUAUUAAGUCUGGUGUAAAAGGCAGUGGCUCAACCAUUGUAUGCAUUGGAAACUGGUAGACUUGAGUGCAGGAGAGGAGAGUGGAAUUCCAUGUGUAGCGGUGAAAUGCGUAGAUAUAUGGAGGAACACCGGUGGCGAAAGCGGCUCUCUGGCCUGUAACUGGCACUGAGGCUCGAAAGCGUGGGGAGCAAACAGG